rnacentral:rRNA from 1 species
GGACAACAGUUGGAAACGACUGCUAAUACCGCAUAAGCCCACAGCUCGGCAUCGAGCAGAGGGAAAAGGAGCAAUCCGCUUUGAGAUGGCCUCGCGUCCGAUUAGCUAGUUGGUGAGGUAACGGCCCACCAAGGCGACGAUCGGUAGCCGGACUGAGAGGUUGAACGGCCACAUUGGGACUGGGACACGGCCCAGACUCCUACGGGAGGCAGCAGUGGGGAAUAUUGCACAAUGGGGGAAACCCUGAUGCAGCGACGCCGCGUGGAGGAAGAAGGUCUUCGGAUUGUAAACUCCUGUUGUUGAGGAAGAUAAUGACGGUACUCAACAAGGAAGUGACGGCUAACUACGUGCCAGCAGCCGCGGUAAAACGUAGGUCACAAGCGUUGUCCGGAAUUACUGGGUGUAAAGGGAGCGCAGGCGGGAGAACAAGUUGGAAGUGAAAUCCAUGGGCUCAACCCAUGAACUGCUUUCAAAACUGUUUUUCUUGAGUAGUGCAGAGGUAGGCGGAAUUCCCGGUGUAGCGGUGGAAUGCGUAGAUAUCGGGAGGAACACCAGUGGCGAAGGCGGCCUACUGGGCACCAACUGACGCUGAGGCUCGAAAGUGUGGGUAGCAAACAGGAUUAGAUACCCUGGUAGUCCACACCGUAAACGAUGAAUACUAGGUGUUGGAGGAUUGACCCCUUCAGUGCCGCAG